AUGAUUAUUACUAUAUUAUUGACAUCAAAUUGGAUAGGAUAAGAUAAUGAUAAUGUUAUAAUAUAAUACAAUAUUAUAAUUAUCCUAUCCGAUUUGUCAUCAAUCCACUCCUUUGGGCUUCACGCAAAUCUACCCUUUGCCAAAAUAUACAAUCCUGUGCUUUGACCAAAGUCAAAUUAAAAUUAUGAUAUAAUAUAAUAAUUAUUACAAUAUUUUAUUAUAUAUUAUUGUACUCUUUUUACAAUAUUAUUAUUAUUAUUUUAUAAUGACACAGCAAACAAGACAGAUAUGCUGGAUUUCGUGUCACAAAAUCACAAGUCGAACUCUUCCCAAGUGUCUAGGACUGUGUGAUGUAUUUUCGGAUGAUGCGUUCAGGUCCCAGUCGGGUGGCCUUUUGCAGCUGCUUUUCAGAAUUUUUCUGACCCUUUGUGUGUAUUCUUUGCUGACCACAGUUUUCACAUGUUCAUGCUUGAUGUUGUCCAGCUGUAAUAUGCCCAGAUAUUUAUAGGCCUCUGGCUGGUGACACUUUAUUGUUUGGCCAUUAGGCAUAUUCAUGCCCUCACUUUCAAUGAUUUUUCCCUUCUUCAAUGCCACUGUCGAACAUUUGUCCAAACCAAACUCCAUGCUGAUAUCAGUGCUAAAAAUUCGGACAGUGUUAGUCAGAGACUGGAUUUCAGUUUCUGUUUUCCCAUACAGCUUCAUUAUUAUUAUUAUGAUAUAAUUAUAUUAUGAUAAUGGAUUUCCUGUCCUGCCCCUCCUCUGGUCCUGCCCACCAGCUGAGCUCUCCCUCCCUCCCCCUCCCUCCCUGGAUGGCUGUUCCGUGCCUGCAGGGGGCGCCAUGGAGACCCUUGUGAUGCGCUGCAGCAUCGCCCUCUUGUGAUCGAGGUGACCACCCUCCCCCCCAGGACUUUGUAAAAGAUAGUUCAAAAACCAAGACUUUAUGUUCUAUAUUCCAUAUAUUUAUAGUAGAAGGUGAUUGAGACUUUUUACUGGAGUUUACUGUAGAUUAUCCCUGCACUCUGAGGCAAGAGAUAACAACUUCAUGAAUUGUAAAAUCAUGCUGCUAAAACUCCACUUUUAUGAAUUUCCAUAUUGGGUUCCCCAGAUGUUAUGAACUUCGUUCUUAUCAAAUAUUUUCAAUUGUUUAUAUCACUCAUGAUUCCCCUUUAUGCAAUGUAACUCACUUUUAUGGAUUCUCCCUUAUUUCCAUGAAAUCUAUCUGUCUGCCUAUAUGUAUUUGUACUCUUUGGGAUCCCCGGAAAAUAUGUAUUUUUCCCAGCAGGGUUUAUAUUCCAACUUUGUUUUAUUUUUCAUUUUAUUUCAUAUAAUUUGUCAAAUCAUGAAAUCAAAUGGGAAAUAUUUUGACCCCAACAUGAACCCCAGAUCCUAUGACCCAGGCUUCCCUUCCCAAAAACAAAAGGAUAAUCUGCCACAGUUUAACCCAAUCUAAUUCAGAUUGCAUGGACAAUAUAAGGCUUGAGUCACCGAAUUCGGAGUGUUGUCCUAAAGGUGAUUCGCCCCCAAGGCAAACAUUGUCAUAUCUCAUCCUAAGGAAAUUCCAGGACACCUCAGGAAGGCGCCCUGUGGAGCCUUGUCAAUUUUGGCUCAUCAACACCCAUCACCACUUCCCCCCUGACACCCCAAGGCAUAUCUAAAAUCUGUAUACGUGACAGGAACCCUUGAUUGCUGUCAUUAAUCCCUUUAGAAAUCGGCCGGACAGGAAUUAAUCUGAUCUUUCCUGCCCUGUCACUUCAUUGUUCCAAUAACUCCCGCCUUCCCCUUCCUGAUUGGCCCGGGUAGAGACAAAAAGCAGCUUCCUAUUGGGCCAACAGAGCAAGGCGGGAAACGAAAGCCCGCCUCGUUCAACACUCUAGCCUAUCCGCGAUCAGAUGGGCGGGGGAGCGGGGCGGGAAAUUCAAGGGGCUGUCAGACUGAAACAUUGUAUAAAUAUGGCUUUAUUUUGGAUAUAUGGUACGCUAGUUGGCUGAAUGAUCGCUACUAGUGUCCUUUUCAGCUGAAUCGCUCAAUAAAGACUCCUUGGCGGAUUUUCCUUCAACUUUGGCGGACCUUCUUCAUUUCGGCUCCAGGUUGUAUUGCGGCUCAUAUUCUCCUAUUGGCUCCGCCAAGGUCCGUUCUCUCAGGACCGGAUCGGCUCUCUCCUUAAGGGGCCCGAUCCCCCAGAAACGCGGUCGACAACAUAAUUUGGCUUUACCACGAAGGGACUUGCUUGGAAGUUCCAAAAAUCAAUUUCUAGGCUAAAAUUCCAAGCGGCAACCUUGGUCCAGAUAUUCUGGAACAGGUUGGGGAGAGAAACGGCUGCAAGGAGGGCCCUCCGACCAACAAUUUGACCUCAUUUCACAUCCAAAUUUCUCUGGCAGUCCCUUUCUCUCUCUAGAUCUGAUUCAGGGUACUGAACAAAGGAGCCAGAUAGGAGGAAGCAGAUUUUUAGCUCCUCGAAGGAAAGGCGCCAACGUGAAACAGGGGACGCCCUGAAAAAAAGGGAACCGGCUCCAUUGUUGAGACCCAGGUGGGCGGAGCUCUGGAGGUAUUGCACUUCGGAUCAGGGCUCGGUAACAAAUUCCUGGUGAAACGCGGGAACAUCUGGCACCUGAAGGCGUGUGAGAACAGUCUGGCUUGUAAGAUUACAGGUUCAAGGAUCGUGGGGUAGGGGACCGGUUGUGUUCCCGGGUCACCUGCGGAUUCCACGAACGCCAGCCAUUCAGCCUUGGUGGAGGGAACUCUUGAAAGGACGAGCUGCAUCCGGCCGGUUGGGUGAGUCGUUACUCCAUUAACUGUCAGUGUAGGCAGGGGCUGAGCUAAGGAUGGGUGUUUGUUCAGCACGUCUAGGGUGUCCCACCCCAGCAGACAUCCCCAGGGAUUCUCCAUUGGGCAAGAUCCUGGCCAAUUGGGGUGGGCUUGCAUCGAAAAACAUGGUGCAGGCCAGGUUGGGCCAACUCAGCGCGCAUAAGUGGCCCCUUGUGGCCCUUGAAGGGGAACAGCUUGCCCCCCCCCCCUUGAGUCGCCGAAUUCGGAGUGUUGACCUAAAGGUGACUCACCAUGGGGAGGGCAGGUGGUUCCGGCUUGCUUAUGCCGCGAUGUUCAUGGCCCUAAAGCCAGGGAGAGAAUUGGAAGGGGGGGGUCCACGUCUUCCCAUGCAGAGAUUUGGGCUCCAAAAACAACCCCCCCCCCAAAGAUUCCUCUCUAGACCCUUUCCCCUUACCCCCUCCUCCAGAGGAUUUUCUGGACACAUUUGCUUGCCUUCUCCCCCACCCCAUCAGCCCCCUCCUCCAAUCCCUAUCUCUACCUUUUCUCCUCACCCUGAGUCCUACACUGAUCUAGGACUCCCAAAUUGGCCUUCCGAGGGAACCCUUACUUCAGGGACCCCCCCCCCCAAGAAAUUCCCCUCCAGAGAGUUCAGCCCAGUCUAACGUGGAGGAGGGCUCCCAGCCCCCUCCCCUCUCACCCCGAAACACACCUGAUCCAAAACACUGUUCCUCUUCUCAAGUCACACUCUCUCAGCCAUUCAAUAGUUUUCCAAAGAAUCAUUUUCCCCUCUCUCCCUCCUUUUAAAAAAAAAGCUAUCUAUUUUUGAAUUUUUUUGAGUCACAGUUCAAUCCCCUUUUUUCCCCUCUUCUUUUCUGUUUGUUUUACCCAUAACUCCAGAAACUCCCCAAAGAUCCCAGAGGAACAUAAAUCUUUAGACUGUCAAUUUGCAUUUUUGUUGGUUACAAUUUGCAAGUGGGAUCUUUGAUCUGGCAUUCUUUCAAAAUCGUCAGGUCACAUCUUGAAGUUAGCUCAAACUAAAGGGUCCUGUGUCCCCAAAGACUCCUUUCCCUUUUUCUCUUUUUUUCACCUAAUCCCUUUGGGCAACCCUGCAAAACCCCUCCCCUUUUUGAACGCUCUCUCUCUGCCUCACCCCCCUCCACUCCCCAUCCUUCUACUCUCUCAGCCUCAUCUCUCUCUGGGGGUUAUUGUGUAUUUAUGGAAAACCUUCCAUCUUCAGGGACAGCUGAGUCCUGCCGGGGGCUCCCCUGUUCUCUGAGUCAUAUUCUUUGUUUGUUGUCCUGAUUUUGGAAUUUGCCUGUCUUUUAAAUGUUGGGAGCCAAGUUUGGUUCCUUUUCAUGGUUUUCUUCCUUGAUCUAUCUUUUCUGUUCCUGUCUCUCUCUCUCUCUCAGCCCCCAUCCCAGCCGUUCCAUUGAAGCCUGAUGCCCCCCCCCCAAAAUUGUAUCUGCCCCUGCCACUCAACUCCUGCCACAUUCAGAGUUUUCCUCAGAUGGGAAGAAUAACCCCACCAUCCCCCUCCUUCUCUUGCCCCCACCAGGCUCUCUCUCUCUCUCUCUCUCUCUCUCUCUCUCUCUCUGCGCUCAUUCCUCUCUUGGAGAGAGAGGAGAAGGAGGGGCUGCGGGGAGAUUGUGCAAAGAGGACACUUUUUUUCUCUUCCUGUUUUUGGAGGGGCAAAGGGGGGAGAAGAUUCAGUCCUGAAGCCUCCCACCAAGCAAAUCAAACCUUCUCCAACUUGAUAUUCUGCCUUGCCUACCCUCAAAUUGUACCCUUUUUUUCUUUUCCUCUCUCUCUCUCUUCCCCGGCCUGAGUGAAAAUCUCUCUCUCAAAUCUCAAAUCCAUUUCUCCUCUCCUUCCUCUCUUCUCACCUUUUAAAAUCCCUUAUUUCCCUUUGUUCCCAUUUUCUAGACACUAUCCCUAACGUUUUACCUCAGUGUUGUCUUAUAUUUUCUUUUGGUCCUUACAAAUGGGGGGGGGGGGCAUUCCUUUAGCCGCUUCUGUUUCUUAAUUUCCCCUUUUCUUUCUCUCCCAUCUGGGAAGCAUGGCAAAGGAUUUGGGUGGGGGAGGGGGACUCCCAGAAAAGUGUUGAUUAAAUUUUGUGUGUUUAUGUAAUGUGUGGGCUGUAUACUCUUCUCUACUCAUCCCUUUGCCUUAAAAGCCACCAGCGAUAUAUAGUUUUCUGGGAAGGAGGGCUGGAAUGGACUAGCUUAGUGCUAUGCUCUCUCUCUCUCCCUUUUUCUUCUGUGCCAUCUCACCUCCCUAUUUUCAAAGGUUCAAGCCGUAAUAUUUUGUGACCCCCCCCCCAGAGAAAUCCUGCUGCUUUUGUGGUUUUAACUUUUUCUUCUCUCUCUCUCCUCAAACCUCCCUUAACUUAGGGACAAAGGGGUGGGGGAUGGAAGAAUGGAUUUAUUUUUCUAUAUGUGAGUUUUUUUCUCUCUCUCUCUCUCUUCCACUUCAUGUUUUCCUAGGCCAAAAUGCACUUCAACAUUCUCCUUUUUCAAAGCUUUCUCCCCCCCUUCCUUCCCCUAUGAAGGGACUCCCAGCAUCCCCAUUUCUCCUUAUAAACAUACAGUCAAAAUCCUGGUUUACUUUUAUAGUAAAGGCACUCUUUCACUCUCCACAGUUCCCCAACAAUCUCCUUUCUUCCUUUCGGGUCCUUCUCCCUCCCUUUCCCUGAGUGCAUGCGUGUGAAUGUUUUAAAAAUCCCUCUAACUGCCUUUAAAUAUGAGGAGGGCAUUAGAGUCCAGGGGACCUUCCAGGCACAGCUGAAGAGAUCCAGAGGACCGGACCCAACCACCUGACUGAGGACAUCAGACCAGACUGCAAGACCCAUAAUCCAUACCUGCCACCAUGAACAGUUCUAAGACCUGGGUAGGGGCUCUCGGAGUGCGCUGUGGAUUUCAUGCAGCAGCUAGAACCCAGAGGCCAUUGGAGAUGGUCCUGUGAGGGCUUUUAUGGCCAGACCACCGUAUGGUGCCCUCCAGCUGGCCUGGUUCUGCCCUGGCAAAGGGCUACUGAGUGCAGGUCUGCCUUUGACGCUGCCAAGGAGGCCCUCAUGACAUCACCAGGGGACAGAAUUGGCCGCCAUGGCAGAAGAUGUCCCAGAAGAAGUGAACAGGAUUCUACCCGUGACCACCAUGAGGGAAGGAUUUUCCGCCCUCACCAGAGCUGUGCCAAAGAAGGACCCCAGGACUGCUGGAGCCCUCACAAGGUAUGAGUGACUUCCCUGACUAACCCCACCACGGGAGGGAGGGAGGGGGGGCUUAUAAUCUGUCCUUAGUUUCCCUAGGCACUCUCUCCUUUCCGUCUCCUCUGUUGGAGUGCUGGACCUGCCUGCAGUCACCAGGAGGCGCCGUGCUGUGAGGCGCAGAAGCUGUGCCCAGUUGCCCCCAGCUGCCAACUACAAAGGGGGGCCCAAGCUGCAGCCAAGAAAAGGCAGCCAAAUGGGAGUACUGCAUCACAGCCUCCAUCAUCCCCAGCCCUCACCACCUCCACCUUCAUGCUCCAUUUCCCAUGACUCCAGACCAAGGGACAUCUGCUUCAACACCAUGGGAUCACCCACCACUGACUGAACCUCAGCUUUCACCUCUUCAAGCUCCUGCCCUCCAACAAAAAGGCACAAUCUGAUCUACCAAGGCAGAGGCCCUGCAUGCAGUGAAAUGUCGGGGCUUUGGGAAAUGUUCAUAGCCAUUUCCAAGCCCCGAAGGGGGGAAAAUGUGAUCGAGGUGACCACCCUCCCCCCCAGGACUUUGUAAAAGAUAGUUCAAAAGUCAAGACUUUAUGUUCUAUAUUCCAUAUAUUUAUAGUAGAAGGUGAUUGAGACUUUUUACUGGAGUUUACUGUAGAUUAUCCCUGCACUCUGAGGCAAGAGAUAACAACUUCAUGAAUUGUAAAAUCAUGCUGCUAAAACUCCACUUUUAUGAAUUUCCAUAUUGGGUUCCCCAGAUGUUAUGAACUUCGUUCUUAUCAGAUAUUUUCAAUUGUUUAUAUCAUUCAUGAUUCCCCUUUAUGCAAUGUAACUCACUUUUAUGGAUUCUCCCUUAUUUCCAUGAAAUCUAUCUAUCUGCCUAUAUGUAUUUGUACUCUUUGGGAUCCCCGGAAAAUAUGAAUUUUUCCCAGCAGGGUUUAUAUUCCAACUUUAUUUUAUUUUUCAUUUUAUUUCAUAUAAUUGUCAAGUCAUGAAAUCAAAUGGGAAAUAUUUUGACCCCAACAUGAACCCCAUUUUCUAUGACCCAGGCCUCCCUUCCCAAAAACAAAAGGAUAAUCUGCCACAGCUUAACCCAAUCUAAUUCAGAUUGCAUGGACAAUAUAAGGCUUGAGUCACCAAAUUCGGAGUAUAGUCCUAAAGGUGAUUCAGCCCCCAGGGCAAACAUUGUCAUAUCUCAGGAAAUUCCAGGACACCUCAGGAAGGCGCCCUGUGGAGCCUUGUCAAUUUUGGCUCAUCAACACCCAUCACCACUUCCCCCCCUGACACCCCAAGGCAUAUCUAAAAUCUGUAUACGUGACAGGAACCCUUGAUUGCUGUCAUUAAUCCCUUUAGAAAUCGGUCUAGCAGGAAUUAAUAUGAUCUUUCCUGCCCUGUCACUUCAUUGUUUCAAUAACUCCCGCCUUCUCCUCCCUGAUUGGCUCGAGUGGGGACAAAAAGCAGCUCCCUAUUGGGCCAACAGAGCAAGGCGGGAAACGAAAGCCCGCCUCGUUCAACACUCUAGCCUAUCCGCGAUCAGGUGGGCGGGGGAGCGGGGCGGGAAAUUCAAGGGGCUGUCAGACUGAAACAUUGUAUAAAUAUGGCUUUAUUUUGGUUAUAUGGUACGCUAGUAGACUGAAUGAUCGCUACUAGUGUCCUUUUCAGCUGAAUCGCUCAAUAAAGACUCCUUGGCGGAUUUUCCUUCAACUUUGGCGGACCUUCUUCAUUUCGGCUCCAGGUUGUAUUGCGGCUCAUAUUUUCCUAUUGGCUCCGCCAAGGUCCGUUCUCUCAGGACCAGAUCGGCUCUCUCCUUAAGGGGCCCGAUCCCCCAGAAACGCGGUCGACAACACCUUCUCAGCCCCACAACCAUGGCAUCGUGGAGUCCUGAGGAUUCAGUCUCGAUGACGUGGCUUUUUUCUGGCCUGAAGACCCCUUUGGCUUUGCUUUGUGGAGACAAAGGGGACUCUGUGUGGUGGUGGUUAAGGUCUCCUUACAAGAAGGCAAGAGUCCAGCCGGCUUAAACGAAGCUGUAAUGAAACCACUGUUGACAAACCAUCCCUGGACCCCACUCAAUUGGUCAACUUCCGGCCAGUUUCCAGUCUCCCCUUUUUGGGCAAAGUCAUGGAACAUGUGGUGGCCUCGCAACUCCCGUUGUUCCUGGAAGACACUGAGUGUCUGGAUCGGGCGCAGUCUGGCUUUAGGACGGGUCAUGGAACUGAAUCAGUCUUGGUCUCCUCAGCAGAUGAUCUAAGCAGGGAACUGGACGAGGGGAGGGUGUCCCUCUUGGUUCUCCUGGGCCUCUCAUUGGCCUUCCAUACCAUAGACCACGGUCUCCUUCUGGGAUGCCUUGUGGGAAUAGGGCUUGGAGGCAGUUUUCCUUCCUGGAAGGUCACUCUCAGAAGGCGUUGCUGGGGGACACCUGCUCGGCCCCACGGCCAUUCUCUUGUGGGGUCCUGUGGGGUUCAGUCUUGUCACCCAUGUUGUUUAACAUCUACAUGAGGCCGCAGGGAGAGAUCAUCCGGCGUUCUGGAGUUCAAUGUCAUGUGCUCCCAGGUGACGUCCACCUCCGCUCCUCCUUCCCUCCUCCCGGUCAGGAGGCUGCUCAGGUCCUGAACUGGUGAUUGGCAGCUCUGACGGUCGGGAAGAGGGCGGAUGAACUGAAACUGAAUCCAGACAAGACGGAGGCACUCCUGGUCAAUCAGAAGGCCAAACAGAUUGUAGGGUUGCAGCCUGUGCUAGGCGGGGUUAAACUCCCCCUGAAGACACAGGUCCGCAGUUUGGGACUGACUCCACAUGAGGGAAGUUGUAGUUCACCCUGGAUCAAGACACAGCACUGUGACCCCCACUGACAA